CUAUUUAAAAAAUUCGAAUAAGAUAACCUGAAAAAUUGUGAUGAAAUGUUUUUCAGAGCCGAAGGAAAUUGUUCAAUGAAAUUAUUGUACAAAUUGGUUUGCAAGCUAUUCAUUGAACAUUAAGAGCGAUAUUUUAUUGAUCAUGAUAAUUAUUUACAGA
ensembl:snoRNA F20D12.10 ncRNA